rnacentral:rRNA from 1 species
AACGAACGCUGGCGGCAUGCCUAACACAUGCAAGUCGAACGAACCCUUCGGGGUUAGUGGCGCACGGGUGCGUAACGCGUGGGAACCUACCAUCAGGUUCGGAAUAACAGUUAGAAAUGACUGCUAAUACCGGAUAAUGUCUUCGGACCAAAGAUUUAUCGCCUUUUGAUGGGCCCGCGUAAGAUUAGGUAGUUGGUGGGGUAAAAGCCUACCAAGCCGACGAUCUUUAGCUGGUCUGAGAGGAUGAUCAGCCACACUGGGACUGAGACACGGCCCAGACUCCUACGGGAGGCAGCAGUGGGGAAUAUUGGACAAUGGGCGAAAGCCUGAUCCAGCAAUGCCGCGUGAGUGAUGAAGGCCUUAGGGUUGUAAAGCUCUUUUACCAGGGAUGAUAAUGACAGUACCUGGAGAAUAAGCUCCGGCUAACUCCGUG